UAAAAUGAUAUCUAAAUAUUUUAGGAUACAGGCGCAAUCGAUUGUUACAGCGGUUCCCAAGCUUGUAAUGUGUCUGGUGUUUGUGAAAGCAUUGACGUUCCCCAAAAUACACCGUGUAAUACAGGAAAUAAUUAUGUGUGUGAGUAUGGGUUUUGUGUGAGCAACUCGAGCCAAAGCUCUAGCUCCAGCACAUCAACAGGUUUGCAGACGACAACAGUUACACCUUCUUCUACAACUGGAUCCACCAAGAAGCCAGACGAUUGUGUUGUAGAGACUGGUUAUGUAGAGUUUGAUCUUCCAGGGUGUGGUUGUUGUGGAGGGUGUGGCUGUGAAAAGACGUGUUCACAAUGUGAACCUGGACUUCCGGCAUAUAACCAAAGUGAAAGCUGCACCAAGGAAGCUAACUGUUGUGGGUCUAAAGUUAGAAUGAGAACAUUGUACGUAUUCUCUUCAAAAUUGUCAAA